CCAGAGAAGAGCAGCAACGAUGCAGGGUGCCCUUGUGCUUCCAAGUUUUUGCUGAAGGUCGCAGGAGCUCACGGACUCUUGGAUCCUUUCUGAAGGAGAGAGGACUGGAUUUUUUGCUCACCCCCAGCCCGUGGGGGGCUCUUAGAGGAGCUGAUGGGGGCGUUUUCAAUAUCUCCAUCGGUGGUGGCUGCUGAGCGUGGGGGCUCAGCUUCCUCCUCUCUGCUGAGAAGUGCAGAAGGAAAACAGAAGGAUGCAGAGGCGUGCGGGACAGCUCAACUCACAAACCUCACAAACUAGAGGUUACUGAGAGCCGCUGCAGUCUGCUGGAGUGCUUUCAGAUUUUCCACUGGGCAGGAAGCACAGAGACAUCUCUCCUUCGGCCUCCAUCAGGGCAGAAAGAACACACAUGGGCACAUUGGCAAGCGGUUGCAGCAGGCUUUGCCCAGCCAUGGACAGGCCCAUCGAGGAUGUGACAGGGAAGGGCAGAAAGCUGCAGGAGAGGACCUGAGCCCCUCAGGACGGAGACCGCCCAGCCCCCAACAUUGUCAUACACAUCAAAGAUGGUUAAAAUUAACCUCGGGGGCAGCCUUCAAGGGGAAAUCAGAGGCAGGGGCUUCCAGCCUCAGGGUCCCCAGUGGAGGAGGGGGCGGACUGCAGCCCCAGCUGCCUGUCCAGUCCCUCAUGACUGGGAGAACUUUCGGACUGCAGGUUUGUAGUGGAGCCCCAAGC